rnacentral:rRNA from 1 species
CCUACGGGAGGCAGCAGUGGGGAAUAUUGCUCAAUGGGCGCAACCCUGACGCAGCAACGCCGCGUGAAGGAAGAAGGUUUUCGGGUUGUAAACUCCUUUUGUUAGGGAAGAUAAUGACACUAUAUCUCGAGUAUACACCGGCUAACUCUGUGCCAGCAGCCGCGGUAAGACGGAGGGUGCAAGCGUUACUCGGAAUUACUGUGCGUAAAGGGCGCGUAGGCGGGAUAGCAAGUCAGAUGUGAAAUCCCACGGCUUAACCAUAGAACUGCAUUUGAAACUGUUAUUCUUGAGUAUGGGAGAGGUAGGUGGAAUUCUUGGUGUAGGGGUGAAAUGCGUAGAUAUCAAGAGGAACACUCAUGGCGAAGGCGACCUGCUAGAACAUAACUGACGGUGAGGCGCGAAAGCGUGGGGAGCAAACAGGAUUAGAUACCCCAGUAGUC